rnacentral:lncRNA from 1 species
AAGAAGAAGAGGAGGCUUCAUUUUGUAUCAUUUGGAGAGUGAUGAGUUUCAGACAGUGAGUCCUGAAAAUGCCAUGGAAUUCAAGGCUGACUGCAGAUUGUACACUGGACACAGCCUCAAGACAUCUAGGGAAUUCUCAUCCUCAUCUGUGCAAUGUGAACAUUCACAUCAGAAGGUAUCUACAACUAUUAAGUGAGACAAAGUACAGGCAUUUUUCAAGCCUGGCACAAAACAAGAACUUGACAAAUAUUACCUACAAUAAAGAUGUCACUGAACACGUGACUUCUGUCUCCUGAGCACCACGCAGAGCUACAGAGAUGAAAGCAGAAUCCAUUCAAUCCAUAGUUACGGCCUUGGUCUGAGUCAAUCGCCUGCCAUUUUCCAGAGAAAGAAUGAAUGAAGACAACUUUGGAUACAAGAAUACUCGUGACAGUGAUUUUCUCCCAUCAACCAUGCCAGCACUGAGGGGUAUUCUCCGUAUAAUGUGAGGAUAUGCCCUCUCUUUUA